UAGUAACGGCGAGUGAAGCGGGAAGAGCUCAAGCUUAAAAUCUCCGUGCAAGUUUUGCGCGGGGAAUUGUAGUCUAUAGAGGCGUGGUCAGUGAGGGCGCUCGGGGCAAGUUCCUUGGAAGAGGACAGCAUGGAGGGUGAUACUCCCGUUCAUCCCUGAGUGGCUCUUGCGUACGACCCGUGUUCUUUGAGUCGCGUUGUUUGGGAAUGCAGCGCAAAGUAGGUGGUAAAUUCCAUCUAAAGCUAAAUAUUGGUGCGAGACCGAUAGCGAACAAGUACCGUGAGGGAAAGAUGAAAAGAACUUUGAAAAGAGAGUUAAAGAGUACCUGAAACUGCUGAAAGGGAACCGAAUCGUUUCCAGUGUCUAUAAUCUGUGGCAUAUUUCAUUGACGAGUGUGUGUGUGCGUGUGCUGUGGCAGUGGCUUUUUUGGCUGCGCUCGGCGUGUGUGCUGCGUGUGCUUGUUGGUGCCCUGUGCUGCGGUGGGACGUCAAGGUCAGUUCGUAUGCUGCGGGAAAUGGCUGCCGAGGAGGUAGGGCUUACGCUCCGCGUUUGUCUGUUAUAUCUUGGUGGACGAGUCGUCGCGGUUGGGACUGAGGUGCCUACAACGUGCUUUUGAGUGAGUGUGUGUCUCCGUGUGCGCCGUGUGCGAUAGCUUGCUAUGCGUGUGUGGUUGUGCGUGGAUUGAUGCGUGCUUUAGCUGUCGCCGUUC
rnacentral:rRNA from 1 species